CAAAGCCCAGGAAGGAGUGGGCAGGGUGCGGUGGGGGCAGACCUCUCUGAGAACCCCCACAAGGGAGAUGCUCCCUGUACAGAAGCCCUCAGACCCAGGCCCCUCGGCCUGCAGAACUUCCCCCUCCCAGGGCAGGGAUGAGAGGGGCAGAGCCAGGGAGGCCCAGCGAGCCCCUUCAGUAUGCUGCAGCUGCCCUGUUUCUGGAGCCAGCGCCACUGUUUCCUCACUGCUUCUACUGCAGGCUGGUGAGCUCCAUAUCAGGGCAGGUCAACCACAGCUCCUUUGAACAAGGAGUACUCCCCCAACAGGAGCACUUUCUACCCCUCGCACAGGUGGUGGAGCCAGGAUUCAAGCUUGGAAGGGAUUAAUUACCCAGGAAAGUGUCUGAGAAAUGGAAGAUGCCCCGUGAAUGGGGUUAAACUCCAUCUGUGUACGUGACACCUCUACUGGGACAAGCCUGCCACAGGUCAGAAGACUCAUCAGCUCUGCUCUGGGAGCAGGUGUGAUGUGAAGGGGCUGGGGGCAGGGCAUGGUGGUGGGUGAGGCGCCUGCUCAUCCCCUCUGGGUUAUUCCAAAGGCCUCCCUGGAUCCCCUGCACCAGCCUGGCCAUCCUCUCCUUCCUCCAUCCUUCUUCCCCAUUGUUGUAGGUGUCUCCCAAAUGGAAUCUAAUUCCCUUGCCUGAGACACUUCAAUGGCUUCUUCAUGCCCUUGGAAUAAAGGCUAAAUUCAGAAAAAUGUUA